rnacentral:rRNA from 1 species
AACGAACGCUGGCGGCAGGCCUAACACAUGCAAGUCGAACGCUCCAGCAAUGGAGAGUGGCAGACGGGUGAGUAACGCGUGGGAACCUUCCCAGUGGUACGGAAUAGCCCAGGGAAACUUGGGGUAAUACCGUAUACGCCCCUAGGGGGAAAGAUUUAUCGCCAUUGGAUGGGCCCGCGUCGGAUUAGCUUGUUGGUGAGGUAAAAGCUCACCAAGGCGACGAUCCGUAGCUGGUCUGAGAGGAUGAUCGGCCACACUGGGACUGAGACACGGCCCAGACUCCUACGGGAGGCAGCAGUGGGGAAUAUUGGACAAUGGGCGCAAGCCUGAUCCAGCCAUGCCGCGUGAGUGACGAAGGCCCUAGGGUUGUAAAGCUCUUUUGGCGGGGACGAUAAUGACGGUACCCGCAGAAUAAGCUCCGGCUAACUUCGUG